rnacentral:lncRNA from 1 species
GUAUUCGCUGAGGGCGACGAGAAACAUGAUGGAUGUCACGUUCUCAAAGCAGUGGAUCCACUUCCUCCGCUCCGACCGCUGGCCCCCCACAUCCACCAUCCUGAAAGGACACAGCGCCAGGACUCAGCCACCUGGCGCCCCAAGGCCCAAUCUGCAAUCCCAGGACGGCUCCCACCCAAGCCCCUCCUGCCACACCAGACUGACAUCGGCUGGAGCAGGAAGAGCCCCCACUCUUAGAACGGGCAAGGACGCUCUCAGAGAGCGGCCGCACCGCCUCCAGGGGUGACCACCGCAGACCCUUCCCUCACUGGCAAAGGGGCCUGAGACCACUGGGCCCAGGGAAGCGGGCGCUAGUGUGGGGGUGUGAGAACCCAGAGGAUUCUGGGCGCCAGCUGCUGCGGGAACCUGCGAUGGGUGCCCAGGGACCCUACAUCUGGCAUCUGGAUGUCACCCUGAGCACAGAAGCCUUUCCCCUCACUGGGCCAGGGACACAGAUGUUCACCAAGCGUCACUCGCAGGAGUAAACACUGAUGCCACAGUUGCUCCCUGCAGGGACCCUCCAGUGACGGCUGCAGAGGGCAGAGUUGCCGGUAUCCUCCUGGGGCAGAAGAGCAGGCGCAGCGCCCUGCCCCGCGUGGUGAGCAGCUCAACCUCACACUCUCAGGCCACGCACAGGCGGGAGAAAGAAAAUCAGCUCAGACGAUGUCUGCGGGCGUGCGUUCCUUACGGGACGUUUGCCUCUUUCUACUUGUGACUUUUCUAAGUUUUCUAUAACGAGAAAAGGCACUUUGGUCUCCUUGAAAGAAUACAAAGGCAGAAGCGGAGAGUGCCCCUCAGGCCCUGGCCCCAGGCCCCAGGGAAGGCCGGGGUCCCUGCAACUCUGCCGAGGAGAGCGGGGCUGCUUUGGGCAUGUGAGUGGUGAAAUCCACCUGGUCUGGUCUGCGGGGGAGUCCAGCAGGCACCGGUGGAUGACAGAUGUGCCAGGUGACUCUAAGGGACAAGAGGGCCCGCACCAGCAGCUGUGGCCAGGCGGGAGGACAGUGGGUGUGCCGACACCAGGCCACAGCCCGUCUGGAGCGCGAGGCCUCUCCUGCACGCCUGCGGCGGCCGGCAGGGCUGGGAUCCGGGUCCCCCCGUGUCUUGUCCCCACCUGAGGGAGCAGGAGCCUCUCCUCACGCACUGGGACGAUCCCACCGGCCUUCAAGGCCUCCAGCUGCAUCCCACAGCACCUGGCCGGCCCUCUGCCAGCGUGUGGUGGACAGAGGCGGCUGGCAGAGAAACAAUGGUGGCAGAGGAGUAGGCUCAGGACGGGGGUCUGCACCCGGCACAGAGGGCACAGCCGGGCCGGGCGCGGUGGCUCACGCCUGUAAUCCCAGCACUUUGGGAGGCCGAGGCAGGCGGAUCACGAGGUCAGGAGGUCGAGACCAUCCUGGCUAACAUGGUGAAACCACAUCUCUACUAAAAAGUACAAAAAAUUAGCCAGGCGUGGUGGCGGGCGUCUAUAGUCCCAGCUACUCGGGAGGCUGAGGCAGGAGAAUGGCGUGAACCCGGGAGGCGGAGCUUGCAGUGAGCCCAGAUUGCACAGCUGCACUCCAGCCUGGGCGACAGAGCAAGACUCCGUCUCAAAAAAAAGAAAAGGGCACAGCUGGAGCUGGGAAGGGCCUGGAAGAUGGUGGAGAGGGGGUGACACACCCAGCCUGAGCUCAGCUCAGGGAGGGGACAGGACAUUUCUGACAGAGGACACAGAGGCCUGCGCUGUUAAGAGGCCAGCGUGGGGCUGUGAGGGGACAUUCAUGCCACAACCUGGCCUAUGCCUGGCUCGCCUCAGCUGUAUCCUGGGGUCAUGGGCCCCGUGUGAAUAAAAAAGAAGAAAAACUUG